GACAUUACAACAAGUCCUGUAUUAACUAAUACUGAACAAUGGAACAGAUGAUUAUCUGCAGUUUAGUUCUCAUMGUGAUGUCCAUACACAGUGUUUGUUGUGAUAUAAGGCUGGAUCAGUCUCCUCCUCAAGUGAAAAGACCUGGAGACACUGUUAAARUGUCCUGUACAAUCUCUGGUUUCUCAAUGAGUSGCUUCUGGAUACACUGGAUGAGGCAGAACCAAGGCAAWGCCCUYGAGUGGAUCGGGAGAAUGAAUAGCAARUCUCCAGUCUACUCAGACUCCCUGAAAGGKCAGUUCYCCCUGACUGAGGACGUCUCCACAAGCACACAGUUCUUAGAGGCCAAGAGUCUGAGAUCAGAGGACUCUGCUGUUUAUUAUUGUGCCCGAGAGA